rnacentral:rRNA from 1 species
AACGUAGGAGACAAACGUUAUCCGGAGUUACUGGGCGUAAAGGGCGUGUAGGUGGUUUCGUAAGUCUGGCGUGAAAUAUCUCGGCUUAACCGAGGCAGGUCGUCGGAUACUGCGGGACUUGAGGACGGUAGAGGCGUGUGGAAUUCCGGGUGUAGUGGUGAAAUGCGUAGAGAUCGGGAGGAACACCAGUGGCGAAGGCGACACGCUGGGCUGUAGCUGACGCUGAGGCGCGACAGCGUGGGGAGCAAACAGG